GAUGAGCGCUAGCGACAGGCUUAACACAUGCAAGUCGAGGGGCAUCGGGGAUGAGCAAUCAUCUGCCGGCGACCGGCGCACGGGUGAGUAACACGUAUGCAACCUGCCCGCCACAGGGGAUAGUCGAGAGAAAUCUCGUCUAAUACCGCAUACACUCUUCGGGAGGCAUCUUCGGGAGAGGAAAGAUUAAUUGGUGACGGAUGGGCAUGCGGGACAUUAGCUAGUUGGCGGGGUAACGGCCCACCAAGGCGACGAUGUCUAGGGGUUCUGAGAGGAAGGUCCCCCACACUGGUACUGAGACACGGACCAGACUCCUACGGGAGGCAGCAGUGAGGAAUAUUGGUCAAUGGGCGAGAGCCUGAACCAGCCAAGUCGCGUGAGGGAAGACGGUCCUACGGAUUGUAAACCUCUUUUGUCGGGGAACAAAGGCGCCACGCGUGGUGUAUAGAGUGUACCCGAAGAAAAAGCAAUCGGCUAACUCCGUGCCAGCCGCCGCA
rnacentral:rRNA from 1 species